rnacentral:lncRNA from 1 species
CGCCCUCCUGCCCGCAAGCUGGGGAGUCACUGCGGCCCGGGAGGGAGGGACAGGGAGGGCAUUUUUCCAGUCUUCACCAGGUGCUCCCCUCUCCACCCCCCGCAACCGUGUAGGUUUCUGGACCCCCAGGUCCGCUUCCCUCCCUCGCUGGAAAGGGGUCGGCCAUCCGGAAAGGGCCCGGGGGCGCCGCAGCCUGGCCCCCACCCCGCCCGCAGCCCCGCUCCUCCCCGCGCGGCCCCACUUGUGGCCCUGCCGACAGCCGCGCAGGGACAGCUGCAUUCUCGCCGCCCGCCGCUAGGAAGCCGGCCUCGCCUCGCUUUCUCCGCCUCCCCGCGCCCCAGCCGCGCCGCCGCCGCCGAGCCCGGCCCCGCCGCCGCCGCUGCGGAUUGCAGCCCUCCCCGCCCGGCCCGCGGCCCCGGCGGCCCGCGGGCGACGCGCGUGGCGCUGCCCGGUAAGAUCCCCGCGCUCCCGCAGCUCCCGCCCGGCCCUGGGCGCGGUCCUCGCCGGCGCCCCGCGCGCAAUCCCGGCCCCAGCCCGGCGGCCCCACCUUCUCCGGACCCGUUGCACAGGCGCCGCCGGGAGGGCCGGGCCGUCGCGAGUUUGAUUCCCGGGACUGUCGGCGCGGCUCCCCGGGAGCUCCGCGUGCGGCAGGUCCCCGCCCGCCCUUCCUUCCCGAGCCCCCACCUCAUCCCGGGCCCCGGGCGCGGGGCGUGCGGGCAUCUGGGGGGCCGGGAGCGGGGCGCGCGAUUAGACUGGGGGCGCGGGCCGGCGGCGCAGGGAAGGGAGACGAGGCCUCCCGGAGCCGGCGCCGCCCGAGUCCCUCUCCCGCGGCUCCCUCUUUUGUGUGGGCGCCCCUCCCGCAGUGCCCGGGCCUGGGGGCGCAGGCUGGGCGGCGACGGCAGGCGGGGGCGCCUGAUGGGAGCUGAGCGCCUUUCAAGGGGAGGGGAGCUUCGCUUCCUGCCCCCGCCGAUGUCACAGGUCGGCUCAGCCUUUUUUGGUCCCUCCCGGUCCCCUGGGAGCUGUAUCUCCCGUCAGCUCGGCCAGAGAAAGUUGGGAAUGCGCUGUCCCCGCCCCUGCUCCCCCGCCCCGCCGGCUCCUGUGCCCCGGGCUCUGAGCUCCAAGGGGCUGGUGUCGGCGUUUAUUCAUUCCGCCCUCUUCCUUUUGUCGGUCGCAUGGUCGCCUUACACCCAGCACUGCCCUGCCCAUUUCUUUUCCCCCUAA